CUGCAGUGAUGAGGAUCUGUUCUGACCUGGUAUUGUUUUCUCUCUGGGGAGAACUCUGACCAGGAAGUGAUCUCACUUUAAUCUUCUCUCUGAGCAG
ensembl:snoRNA Z30 small nucleolar RNA